rnacentral:lncRNA from 1 species
UUUAAUUCAGUUGUACUUAGAGAUUUGAAAAUUCUUUCUUUGGAGGUUUUGUUGCUGCCCACACGUUGCCCGUCCUAUAUGAAAGAUAUGAAGAUGAGGUUGAUGGUUUUAUGUACAAUGUCCUCGGACAGCUUCAGCAUAAUUACCGCAAGCUGGAUGCCAGUGUCUUGCGCCGAAUCCCGACCAGCAAGUUCAGGGGAAGGAAGGUUGACUAGACUGCUCCUUUAAUAUCUCAAAUAACUGCAAGCAAUUUGAUGACAGCUAACACUACUCGAGUUACCGUUUAUCAACCCAUAAACUGUAGCUACAUUCACAAUGACCGUCGAACUUUCUAAUACAUAUAACUGGAACCUUCUCAGCCCCCUUAACACAACCUAGGCGCCUUUGCUAACUUCUAGAACUCUAUCUCCCCCAUUAUAGCGGCACCCUUUUGAAUCAAGAAUAUUCAAAGAGAUUUGAUUCCUGUUUGUACCUAGAACAUGUCGAACCUGGCCAAGUAUUCUAACCAUCCCAUCAAACAUCUUGAUUUUACCAAUCUCAAUUAUUUUGUAAGGCUCAUUAUUUUCCAUCAUCACGAAACUCUUGUAACAAUUUCAUAUGAAGAAAACCAAUCUCAGUUUGAACACAUAUAAAAAGUACAAGGCAAGUCAAGAAUCCAAUUCUUGUCAAAUUUGGAGUCAUCGUUAGUAAUUGUCAUAAGAUCUCCAUCACUAUCACUGUUGUUAUCAUUGACUUUGCCCCUUCCAUGAUUAUCGUCUUCCUCGUAUGAAUAACAAGACCUUUGCUGGGCUUCAUAACCGAUGACUAGAUGCUUCAUCUUCUCAUUAGAAUAAAGCGCGUCGUAUACCUCGUCACUAGUAAAAGUAUCCCGAUUAUACAGAAUAGAAUAUCUAAAAGUUACAUAUGAAAAAGGGAACGAAUAUAACAAUAUCAGCCCUAAAUCCUCUUCAUCAUACUUGACUUCCAUGGUCUCCAAAUUAGUAAUGAUUUCCUUGAAUACCAAUAAUUGAUCUUCCAAAGAUCCAUAAUUUGUCAAGCGAUGAAAAUACAAACGCUGCUUCAAGUGUAACUUACUUAUCAAGCUCUUUAUCAUAUAAAGUUACUCCAAUUUUAACCAUAAUCGAAUGACACUUUUCACCUUUACUAUGUCCUAAAAAAUUUGAUUAGAACAAUGAAGAUUUAUCUAUGAUAAUGCUUUUCGAUCCAUGCGUUGCUCCUCCAUCGUAGUCAUUAUUACGAGCAUUCUAUCCACCCCAACAAAAGCAUUAAUAAAACUCAAUUGAGCAAGAAUCGCUCACAUCUUGAUCUAUCACAAAGAGAAUCUACUGUUGCAAUACAAAAACGGAAUCUCAAAUUUCAUAGUUGCCAUACCUGAAACAAUUGAAUUUGUUCAAACUUCACUUUAAUAACCAAUUUGAAUCUCACAAGAACCUGCUAAAAUCCUUCAGCUCUAAUAUCAGUUUGUUGAGAAUUCAGCCAAAUAGUUAAAUAGUGAGAAAAUAUGGGUAAUAUGAAAAUAAUGAAUCACACAACCAACAAAAUUUUUGUGGAAGAAGGGGAGAAUUUAUUAUAUCAAAAAACUAAAAUUGUCUUUACAAAAUUUAGUUCUAAACAAUUUUCUCAAGUUUCUAAUGUAUAAAACAAUGAUCUAAUUGUUAUGAGUCUAUGAAGAGCAUACAUUUUGUGUAGUAUUUAUAAGAGAUUAAUCUUGUAGCUAUGGAUAAGUAGAAUCCUUAAUUCCCGGCCCAAAUAGGCUUAGGGUUGGAUCAUCAAUUUUGGGUGUUAAUAUUUAUUUUAUCCAACAUCGGUUUAACAAUAUCACCUGGAUUAUUGGGAACCAAAAUCCAACACUAUUUUAUAACACAUUAUCAGCACGAUUCUCCCAAAAUUCAAGAAAUAAUUGAAUAUGAUCAAGAGCAAGUCACCAUCUCUUUAUGUUCCGAUAUCUUCUUUACUAAUCAAAUCACCAAUUCACCAUCUCUUCAUUGUGUAUGUGACCGUCCUUCAUAUUUGAUCAAUUUUACCACCAUUGUCGUCAUGCAAAUUGCCCAUGGCGAAAUAAGUUAUUUUUACAUGGUCAUUUCACGCACCAAGUAUAAAAGUGACCAAGUCCCUGUGACAAUAUAGGGUGGUUAUGGACAAGGUGGUGGCAAUGCCCCACGUCACAUUCUAAUUGAUGCACACAUAAUAUUUUUUAAUUUCCAAAUAUAUCUUCUUGUAAUUGUUUUCUGUUUGAAUAGUUGAGUGAACGAGAGGGUCUUAUUGUUUGGAUGAGAACUGCAGCAUUACCUAAUUUCAGAAAGUUAUAGAGACUGACUUGGAAGCCAAUCAGAAAAUAAGAGUUGUAAUACAAAACAAUUACAAACAUUCAAUUGACAGCAAGUAACAGCUAGUACUUUCCACAACCACUUGGAUUGGUGGAAAAAAUGAUUUUCUUGGCAAGGCCUACAUCACAGUUGGUGGAAUUUGCUUGUUCCUUGCAAUAGCUUUCAUAUUGACAUAUGUCAUCAAGCCCAGGUAAACAAAUUCUCCGUAUUUUCUUCUAUACAUUUUGUUGAUUUUGCAGGAAAAAAGAGCCCAUUUAAUGAAAGAAUAAUGCUACGAAGCAACACCAAUUUACACGGCAAUACAAUAUUGGAAUUGACUAACAUGUCUAUUUUCCAGUUUAUAAGCUUUUAGCUCAUAUGUUUAUGCAGAAAUUUGACAUGUUUUUGGAGUUAUGUAAAGCAAUGUUUUUAAACCAUAUCCCUAAAAAAGGUUGCUUGGGUUUCGCAAGUUUUGGUUGGCUUCUUGUGAUUCUGUACCUGCUUUUAUUUACAUGGAUAUUAAUACUUAAUAGUGUGAUGUUAGCCCCCCAAUUAUUCAGUGCUUCAUAAAAUUUUAAUGAAGGUGACAAUCUUGAACUCGAUGUUCAUUUUGAUUGUUCUUGUGUAGGCCCUUGGGAGAUCCAGCCUACUUGUCAUGGAAUAUGAAAUCUGCACAGGGUCGGUACUAAUAUUUGGGAGGUGUUAUGCCAAUUUCAAAUAUGAGGCCUUAUUAAUAUUAAGCUCCAGUUUGAUAGAAAUUAAAAUCAGAUUUUUCGCGACAUUUUUUAAUAAUUGCACCGUUUUUUAUUUACAAGAAAGAUUUUAAUAUUUGCUUACUUUUAAUUUUAUGUCCUCAACUUGUUUUUUUGUCAAAUUGUCAUUCUUAACCUUUAAUUAACCAACAUAUUUUAUCGCUAAUCACUAUUUUUAUCCAAAUAUUCUACUAACGUGGACUGAGAAAAUGGACAAAUAUUUUGUUUAACCUUUGUAUUAUUUAUUAUUUUGAUUAUUUAGAAAUAAGAGAGAAAUAUGCCUUUUUGGCCCUCAUAACAAAUAUUUUGGAUGAAAAUCAUCUCUAUAGACAAGAUGUGAAAAUUAAUAAAAGGUUAGUGAUAAAAAGAAAAAUUAAGAAAAGUUGAGGACAUAAGUGUAAAAAUAAGAAAACUUUAGAGACAUAUGUUGUAAUUAAAAUAUAGUGCAGUAACAAAAAUUGUGAUAUGAAUGUACCCUAACUAUAUUGUUCAAAUUCGUAGAGAGCUUCUAUGCUUGGGAGCACUAGCCGCAAUGACCAGACGAAAGUCAAGAUUUGUAGCUUAAUUUGUUCCAAUUCCAGCCACUUCCAACUUUAAAACUUAUAUUUUAGCCCCUGUUUGAUUCUCAUUCUUUAGACACAAAAAUAAAAAAUAUGAUCGUUAUCUAUCACAUCAAGCUACCAUAUUUGACUUUCUCUCUCUUGUAUGAGUCAUGUAACGACUAUAAUUUUCAUUCUCAUUUUUAGAAAAAUGGGAAUCAAACGGGGCCUUAUUGUAUUACUUAUUCUAGUGGCUCCUUGAACCACCACAAAUAUCUCCUACAUUUUAUAUAUAAACCCUUAGAUAUAUGUCUUAUUUGAUAGGGUUAAUAUCAAAAUUUAUUAAUUUUAAUAAAUUUUGACGAAAUAUGUGAUUAAAAAGCUUAAGCCUCAUGACAUAUGUAAUUGAAAUUAAUUUUUAACUUUGAUUUAGAUUAAAAUUUUAAUUUUAUUCCCACCAAAUAUGAUAUAUAAUAUAAUGGUGUUAUAUUUGAAUAUUUUAUCCAUAUAUUUAACGAGGGUUUUGAGUAUUUGAUUUAAAUAUUGGUUUUUCCCAUCGAAAAAAUUAAUGAGAGUGUACAUCUAUGCAUCUGAGUGUUAUUUAGGUACAAUAAAUUUUAAAUCGAAAGUUGGUUGAGGGAAUAAUGAGAAUGCUUGAUCUGAGUAAGCUAGUCUCAGAGACAUUUUUUCUCUCAAAAUUCUUCCCACAAGGAGGAGCUUCCAGCUACACAUGGUGGCGUUAUCAGUGUAAUAGUCAUAGGAUCAAAUGUUCAGAAAAAUCGCAAAUGCACGAUAUCACGAUAAGUAAUAUAGUGAUUAAUAGAUUAUUUAUUCCACGGAAUUAAUGAAUUGAAAACUCAAAUGAUUGAUGGUUUUCAAAAUUAAACUAAAAGUUAAUAAAAGUAACAAAAUGAGGUUCCAUAGCCUCACUUUGAACCUAGUUCAAUGAGAUAAAGUGUUCAGAUUCUCAAUUUCAAUAUAUUGUUUUUUCAAUGAACUUCGUAUAGCACAUUUUGACAAUUAUUCAUGUGUGAUAUCAAGUAAAUCUCUGUAGAAUAUUGAUAGUUUAUCUUAAAUAAAAUCAAACCUAAAUAAAUAUGAGAAUUUACUAUAAACCUAUGUAAAUUACUAAACAAUGAAGUUCCUUUGUCCUUCACCUGCAACCAAUUAAAAGGUCUACAACUAGGCCUGGACAUUUUAAUUGAGAUCGAAUCUCUCGAACUGAAAUUGAAACGAAACCGGAGGUUUCGAUUUGAUUCUAAAAAAAUUAGAUUAGGAACUGGAACCGAGAACCGAUUGAGUUGGAUCGGUUGUAGUGGUGGCAAAAAAACUCGUCCCGCCCCAUGAAGAGAAAAAAAAAUUUAAUAAUUUUAUUUUUAGACAAUUCAUUUACCCAUUAAAAACGCAUUUUGAAUUUGUAUUUUAUUAUCUAAUAAUAGUAUAACUCAAAAUUUUAAAAAUGUAUAUAAAAAAAUUAAAAAGGGACAGCAAAUGGAGCAAGCCUCCGCCCCACCACCAUCCCUAGGUUGUUGGUUCUUGAAACAGAACCAUGGGUAUACAAAUGGAACCAAUUUUUUUAUAUAAUUUUUUAUUUUUUAUAAUUUAAAGGAUUGGUAAAAAAAUAAAAAUAAUAACAUAAAAACUCUAAUUUGGAUAGUAAUUCAUUUAAAACUCUGGAUUCAUUUAAUAGGAAUUCUGCAUCAAUCUAUUAGAAGUUAAAACUCACGUGCUAAAUAUAGAAUUUGUAUGUCUUUAUCUAAAAUUUAAUUAUAUAUUUUCUACCAGUAUUUCAAGUUAUAUAUCUGGUUAAUAUGCUUUAUCACCAUUUCAAAAUAAUUAAUAAUAAUUAACUCGCCCCCGGGGCAUAGCGCAGUGGUGUAAAGGACCGGAGUGAGGUUAUCUCACACUUUGUUGACAACCGCAGUUGGGGAUUUGAUUCUUGAGACGUGGAAUAGGACUCCUUGUAGUUGAAGUGUACAUGCAACUCUUGUUCUCUGACUUGUUAGUACAUACAUCGCGAUUUACCUCCUUCACAAAACUCUAGGAGUGAGGCAGUGGGGGUUCAACCUUUUUUUUUUUUUAACAAUAAUUAACUCAAUCUAACUUGAAGGUAUUUAAUAUUGGAUAUUACUAUAAAAUUAUUAUAGUACACAAUAAAGUGAGGUAAGAGAGAGACGUGUUCUUGCACAAUUGCUUGCAAUCAAUUGCUCGUGAAAUUUUAGACAAUGGAGAACAUUAGUAUAUUUUCCUUGUUGGAAUUUAAUACGUGAAUGUUAUGAACUGAUAAAAAUUAUGAAUUUAUUGUUAUUUACGUAACUGGUGUAAGUUAACUAUAUAACUAACAAGAACAUCCUGCAGUCGUGAAUAAAUGGGAGUAAAAAUCUGAACUCAAAUAUAAAUAGAUAAAUAAGGACCAAAUAAAUGUAGAUAUGCAGUAAAAAUUGAAAACGGUAACUAGUCUUUUAUACAAAUUACCCAUUAUUUGCUUACUCUCUGAAGCAAAAACUGCAUCUUUCAACUUCAAGUACCAAAAUACACACGGUUUAACCACAUAAUUACCACUAUAACUAUCAGUAAAACGUGGGUAUUUUAGAUAAAAUCCAGCAAAAAUAAAUAAAUAAAUAAGAAAAAAUUAGAAAAUAAUUCCAAUAAAAGACUAGUAAUAAUUAAUUAUUAACUGAUACUAUUUGUUGUGGAGAGGAUCUGGGCUGCUGGGUAUUCUCCUUUUGUAAUCAAGAAACGUACCAUUUGAAGCGUUGUUGAGAUCAGAAACUACUGUGUCAUUGAAGUAUUUGUGAAAUAUGUCUGUUUGAUUCUUGUUGGCUUCCAGAAUUGAUUCUGUGUCUUCUUCUACGGCUGGAAAUAUUCUUAAUGCUGACACUUUGCAUUCUCUGGGAACCCAAAUGAUUAACAGCACUACCAGAGAUGAGUACAUGACUGGUUUACUUCUGCUGGAAAAUGACAUUGAACGCAACCUUCAAAUCGACUUUUUGAGGAGAGAGUAACCGAAGUCCCUAUAAAUUCACUAUGCAGGGCCUUUUACGAUUUCAAAUAUAAUUAGAUCGAUACAGAACCCGAAAGUCGAAAGGCUUUUAGUUUAGUUUUUUCUGCCGGAAGGGUUAGUUUAGUGUUUGAUUUUAGGUUAAAAAUCUUCGCCAUCUGGG